rnacentral:lncRNA from 1 species
GGUCAGCAGGGUUACCCAUAGAUGAUUUGUGUUUUAGCGUAUGUCCCCCCUAUGGCUGUUAGUUAUGGUAGUUGCUGUUUGAUAGUAUUGCAUGCGAUAGUAUUUAUGUUUCGUAUGUUUAGAUAAUUAUUAUACGCUAUUUCCGCUAUUUCUACUGGAGUUACUAAUGCUCUAUUGUUUUUAUUUUUGUCUUUGGUUUGUUUUACUGCUGUUUUUCCUUUUAUCCUAUGAGCCGGGGGUCGAUUGGAAACAGCCUCUCUGCUCUUUCCGGUAGAGGUAAGGCUUCUCUAUAUAUUACCCUCCCCAGAUCCCACCUGGUGGGAGUAUACUGGAUAGUUGUUCUUCUGUUGUUGUUGUAG